UAAGGAAUAUUGGUCAAUGGACGCAAGUCUGAACCAGCCAUGCCGCGUGAAGGAUGAAGGUCCUCUGGAUUGUAAACUUCUUUUAUCUGGGACGAAAACGGGAUUUUUAUCUCAAUUGACGGUACCAGAGGAAUAAGCACCGGCUAACUCCGUGCCAGCAGCCGCGGUAAUACGGAGGGUGCAAGCGUUAUCCGGAUUCACUGGGUUUAAAGGGUGCGUAGGUGGGCAGAUAAGUCAGUGGUGAAAUCUUCCGGCUUAACCGGGAAACUGCCGUUGAUACUAUUUGUCUUGAAUAUUGCGGAGGUAAGCGGAAUAUGUCAUGUAGCGGUGAAAUGCUUAGAUAUGACAUAGAACACCAAUUGCGAAGGCAGCUUACUACACAAUCAUUGACACUGAGGCACGAAAGCGUGGGUAGCGAUCA
rnacentral:rRNA from 1 species